GAAAUGCGAUAAGUAGUGUGAAUUGCAGAAUUCAGUGAAUCAUCGAAUCUUUGAACGCACAUUGCGCCCCUUGGUAUUCCAUGGGGCAUGCCUGUUCGAGCGUCAUUUGUACCUUCAAGCUUUGCUUGGUGUUGGGCGUCCUUGUCUUCCCCCCCUUGGGGGGGGUGGAGACUCGCCUUAAAACAAUUGGCAGCCGGCAUAUUGGUAUCGGAGCGCAGCACAAGUCGCGCUUCUUUCCAUGAAUGUCAGCGUCCAUCAAGACGUAUUUUUUCACUCUUGACCUCGGAUCAGGUAGGGAUACCCGCUGAACUUAA
rnacentral:misc_RNA from 1 species